AUUGAACGCUGGCGGCAGGCCUAACACAUGCAAGUCGAACGAGUGGCGGACGGGUGAGUAAUGUCUGGGAAACUGCCUGAUGGAGGGGGAUAACUACUGGAAACGGUCUCUAAUAACGCAUCCCAUCGUAUGUGGCGAGAUGGGAUUAGCUAGUAGGUGGGGUAAAGGCUAACCUAGGCGACGAUCCCUAGCUGGUGUUAGAGUAUGACCACCCACACUGGAACUGAGCAACGGUCCCGACUCCUACGGGAGGAAGCAGUGGGGAAUAUGGCACAAUGGGCGCAAGCCUGAUGCAGCCAUGCCGCGUGUAUGAAGAAGGCCUUCGGGUUGUAAAGUACUUUCAGCGGGGAGGCGUUACCCGCAGAAGAAGCACCGGCUAACUCCGUGCCAGCAGCCGCGGUAAUAC
rnacentral:rRNA from 1 species